rnacentral:lncRNA from 1 species
GCAUUGUUGUGUUGUUUUCCCUGCAUCCUGUGUGAGAAUGUCUGUUCCCCUGGAGCUUAGGUUACAGACAGUUGUGAACGGCUAUGUGGGUGCUUGGAAUUGACCGUGGUCUUCUGGAAGAGCAGUCAGGGCUCUUAACCACUGAGCCUUCUUUCCAACCUGUUUGGUUGGUUUUGAGAUUUAGGACGAUAAGAUUUCAAAACAAAAAGAAAACCCAGUCUGGCCUUUAUCUUAUUCUGUAGCUGAGGGUAACUUUAAAUUCCUGAUACUCCUGGCUUUGCAUAUAAAUAUUGGGAUCAUAAGCAUAUGCCACCAUUGAGGUCUCUUGCUAAAUAUUGCAGGCUGGACCUGAACUUAAGAACUGCCUGACUUUGUCCAUCAAGUGCUAGGAUUAGCUAUGUGUGGCACCACGCCUGUGUAUAAUUGUAGCCUUACAGUUAGAGCAGUGUGUUGGAAUGAAUGCUUCAUGGUUGAAAAGCCACGACCGGGAAAUCUGCUUUCAAGUACUGAGGUGGCACGGUGGAUGGGGUGUAAAUGAAAUGAGACUAGCCAUGAAUAGUCAUUAAGGCUGUUAGAUGUGUGGAACCGAGGUGCAGGACCACGGAGCACACAUCAGGAAAAACAGUCGAGACAGCAGCAGCAGUACAGGCAGCAGCAGUACAGCAGCAGCAGUACAGGCAGCAGACAGCAGCAGCAGUACAGCAGCAGCAGUACAGGCAGCAGCAGUACAGUAGCAGCAGUACAGGCAGCAGCAGUACAGCAGCAGUAGUACAGCAGCAGCAGUACAGGCAGCAGCAGUACAGUAGCAGCAGUACAGGCAGCAGCAGUACAGGCAGCAGCAGUACAGGCAGCAGCAGUACAGGUAGAGGUGGCUUUUGGAUUAUGAGUUUCUUUAACUGCCAAGUGCAGACAGAGGUUAGGUUUCAGAUGUCUAUGAGACUGAAGUUCUGGGAUGGGGAAUUCUGGAACAGUCAUAAGGAUGGAAGAGGAAGGCUGAACCAAGGAGACUCCCUGUCACAUUUUAGCAAGGUCAACGCUGUUUUUAAGUUUUGUUAAACUUGGCUUGAUGGUAAAAUUUUCAUUUAUAAGCAUGACUGUAGACAAUUUAAAUUUUUUGUUUAUGGCUAUUGGAUCAUUCGGAUACUUUAAAUGGAGCACAUUGUAGUAGAGGGUAGACAACGUGGGGAAAUUGGCCACCAUGCUAGCGCAGUCUUUGGCCCAGCAGGUGCAUUUGCACAUACUAAUUUGUUUCUAGGAAGGACAGAAGGGAGGCAUGGAAAUCUCAUGUAUCACACACCAAAGCCAGUCCCUCUGCGCAGCUGGAUUAUAUGGGCUGCAACGUGGCUCUCUCCUGCUCUUACCAGAGCGCCUGGAUUCAUAGCCCUUUUCCUGUGCACAAUCAAGUUGGAAGGCAGGGAAUGAUGCCAUAAUUGCUCCUCUUUUAACCAUGGCUGCUUCUUAUCCAUAUCACCCCUUUUAAUACCACUGUACCUUUAAGAAAGGUAUCAAUUGACAAUUUCCAUACCUGAAUACAGUGUUACCUUGGUAAUGUUUACCACCGUACCUCUUUCCAUCUCCCCCAACCCACUGUACCUUAUAGCUGUUUAAAUUCCAGACUACAAGACUCUGCAGUUGCCAUCUUUUCCUUCUUUUCUUCAAACUUGAAAUCUUUCUAUAUUGGAAAAGCCAUUGACGUGUUAAUCUCUCCUAAGCUACACUCUCUUUCAUCUUUGUGCCUUUAUAAAAGUGCAUGGAGACACACAAGCUACCUAUGUCUAGUGAGAAUAAGCUGUCAACAUUGUAGGCUUGCAGGCUAAAAUCUUUUAGGUAUAUCCUCAUGCGUCUGUCCAUUGGCUUCUAUGCCACUCUGCCUCAUGGUUGUUGUGUGUAUAUUUUAACCCCAGCUGCAGGGGUUAGUGUCUGAAAUCUUGGUCCUCUGCUAGAGAGAACAACAAUUUUCCUUUAGGGCUAGGAUAUGAAAUCUCUUCUGGAGUAAGCCUUGGAGUCUGACAGUGGUUUUGAGUCUAUGAACAGUUUUGAAUUUGGGGAGCCAAGCCCUGUCCUGGGUUGUUUCACUUAAGCCCUCUAUUUUCCACAGACUCUGUGUAUUCCUCUUGCUCCCAUUCCAACUGUUCCCACCCAAGAAGGAUGCCUUGUGCUUCUGCACAUUUUACUCAGUCGUAUUGGCCUGUGUGGUAGCCAGAGAUCCGGUUAGAGGACUGGUAAAUGGAAUUAGAGAGGUAUGAGAAAGGAUUUUGCAGAAAUUGGAUGUGCUGCUGUACUCCUGUAAUCCCAGGCCCUGGGAAGUGGGGGCAGGAGGAUCACUACCCAUCCUUAGCUACUUGGUGAGUUUGAUGCCAAACUAUGCCACAUGGGACCAGGUCUCAAACAAAACAAGCUUGCUUUGCGGUUUGCCUACAUCUUAGAAGGCUAUUUAUUCUACUGAUAACAGCAGAAGAAGUUGUACUGGGUAACUAUCUUUUUGUUUUUCCGGCUGUACAAUUUGAAAAAUGUAAUUGAAGGUAAUUUACAGAGUAUCAAGGAGUAGUUUUAUUUUGUUUCAUUUUUGUUUUUCUUAACACAGGAUAAGUACUUAUAUUCUUGGGUCUCUCCAUCCAGAGGCAACCAUUAUUAACAUUCUGUUAUUCUUUUAUCUGUUUUUUGUCCACUUAACAAUAAUAAAAUAAAGCUUAUGCAAUACAGGUGAUGCAGUUUUGCCUGCCUUUCCUGCCCAGUAUUGUUUCAGACAUGUUUCUAAAUUGAUUCUUCAAAACCAAUUAUUUUCAUGGCUGCAUGACUAUAC